GCCAUUUUGAGCUAAAAGAACGGAGCUGUUUUUCUGUCUUAUGCGCAGAUAUAUAAAUCGCCACUAGUCCUACAUUUGUGAGUCUGCCUUGUUUUGUUUAAAAAAAAUUGUACGUGUUUAUCAUCUAGCUGACAUAUUUCAGUCGUGUUUCCAGGAAAAUAUUGUAGGUUUUGAUUGGCAUACGCACUUGGUAAUAGCUAGCUAGUCCAUUUAAAGCCACACUAGGAACGCGAGGACGCCUUCUGGUGUUGAUUGAGAUAGCCUGCUGUCGAAUCGAGCUAGCUUACCGAACAAAGGAACGCAGUGUGACCGAGGCAGCGUCGUUGGUCAGCAGGUAUCAUAGUUUUCACAUUAAGCUGAAGGUCUACGACAAAAAUGGCUGAGGUGUACAUUCGCGUGGCAGAGGAAGAAAAUGAGGAACCAAUGGAGAUUCCAUCAGAAGACGAUGGCACCGUGUUGCUUUCCACCGUGGCCGCUCAGUUUCCAGGCGCGUGCGGCCUACGGUUCCGGAGUCCCGUGUCUCAGUGCAUGCGAGGAGUUCGUUUGGUUGAGGGAGUUCUUCAUGCACCAGAGAAUGGCUGGAGUAACUUAGUUUACGUCGUAAAUUAUCCCAAAGACAAUAAAAGGAAGAUGGAAGAAAUUGAUGCAUCCUCUGCAGUGAAGAUGAAGAGAGGGGACAUGAAAACGUCAGAUCUCAUUGUGUUAGGUUUGCCGUGGAAAACCACAGAGCAAGACCUGAAAGAUUACUUCAGCACUUUUGGGGAAGUUAUUAUGGUCCAGGUGAAGAGAGAUGCUAAGACUGGGAACUCCAAAGGAUUUGGUUUUGUAAGAUUUACUGAAUACGAGACCCAAGACAAAGUGAUCUCUCAGCGUCACAUGAUCGAUGGAAGAUGGUGCGACUGUAAACUCCCCAACUCUAAGCAAGGCCCUGAUGAGCCCAUGAGAUGCAGGAAGGUGUUUGUUGGCCGUUGCACUGAAGACAUGACUACCGAUGAGUUGCGCCAGUUCUUCAUGCAGUACGGCGAAGUCACUGACGUCUUCAUCCCCAAGCCGUUCCGCGCUUUUGCCUUUGUCACCUUUGCUGAUGACCAGGUUGCCCAGUCCUUAUGUGGAGAGGACCUGAUAAUCAAGGGGGUCAGCGUGCACAUCUCAAAUGCUGAGCCAAAGCAUGGCAACAGGCAAAUGGAUCGUGCAGGGCGGUUUGGAAAUGGUUUCGGGGCUCAGGGGUUCGGUAGUAGCCGUAGUGGGAUAGGAAGCAGCACGAACAGCAAUCUGGCAAAUUUUGGGUCCUUUAGUUUGAAUCCUGCAAUGAUGGCAGCUGCUCAGGCUGCCCUGCAGAGCAGUUGGGGAAUGAUGGGUAUGUUAGCCAGUCAGCAAGGGCAGUCUGCCACCUCUGGCACUGCAUCUACUGGAUCUAGCUCCAGUAGGGAUCAGAGUCAGUUCUCCAGUACAGGCAACAGUAACUACAGCGCCAGCUCAGCCAGUCUAGGUUGGGGCACUGGCUCAAACUCAACAACCAGUGGUAGCGGGUUUAGCUCAGGCUUUGGAUCUAGUAUGGAGUCUAAGUCAUCUGGGUGGGGAAUGUAAGUUAAAUAGUUUGUAUGGUAAGUAUUGUGAGAACGACAAGUCUUUUCCAAAUUUAUUUUGGGUGUUAUGCGUGUCUGAAAGAGACCGCUUUUGUGAAAGAAACAUGUUUUGUACAUUUGGAAAAAUGCAAAAGAUAUAAUUUAGAAAGUGUUUGAAGUGAAUUUUUGUUUACCAGGGUUCUGAAUUUAAGUGCUAUUCUGGAUGUCAAAUAAUUUGUUUUUAAGUUUGUAUUAUCCUGAUUAAUUUCAACUGGAUUCUUUAAUGCAUGUAUUGUGAAAUGUGGUAUCAAAAAAUGCAUGAGUAAUUAGUAUGGCUCACCAUUCUACUGUAUCUACGAAAGCAAUCAAGCAUUGGAAAGAAUCUGGUUGAACUUAAAAUGUUUUAAGUGCAACUUUAUUUGCAGUCAAGUUCUAUGGAAAAGCCUUCACUAAAAUCUCUUCUGCAGUUCACCUCUCUUCCAUUUUCCCGGGAGGAAGCUCCUCUUUGGCAGCAUUCUUUGGGUGGUGUGUAUCACUCUCCCUCUGCCCAUCUGUAAAUGCUUUGCCAUCAAAGAACGGCUUCACUCCGCAUGUUCUAAGAGACGGGACCUUGGACUCUGCUGCCCGAGGUCUCCGUCUGAACCCUGACGGAAGUCACUGUUCUGAAGGAUGAAGAUGGAAGUUCCAACACUUUCAGUGUGGCCCUCAGACAUGACAUGGGGUAGUACUUGCAUUUUUUGCUGCUUCUAUGAAAGCUGAUCUUAGUUUUCCCUACAAGGAGUAAGUAAACAUACACAUAUCCCAAAAAGUAAUCUUUCCCCCCCAUCCCCAGUUCUCAUCACAAUCUAGAAUUUAUGAUGAAUUGGGUGAAGCAUAACACUUGCUUCUGGUAGACAUGGAAUAUCCUGAUCAAAGUCCAAUACAUUUUGAACCUGCAAUUUAGACAUUGCACGUUUUAUUCUAGGACAAAACCAAAACGAUCAAGAAUCGUCUACCGUAAACAGGUCAUGGCGCCGCAUCAUACUGUGAUCCCUGACAAAUGCUGCAUGUGUGUAUCCUGUCUUUCCAAAUCACCAGGUAACCCGAUGCAACAUUGUUAAUGAAGUGAGUUCUGUUUCAGCUAGUCAGGGUAAGGUGCUGAAAUGGUGCCUUGAUUCUACAUUGUGCUGUACCCAAGUAUGGAUGGUUGCCAUGAACAGAAAUAAAUGUUUUACAACAAUGCCAGUUGAA